AUUGAACGCUGGCGGCAGGCCUAACACAUGCAAGUCGAGCGAGCGGCGGACGGGUGAGUAAUGUAUGGGGCCUGCCCGAUAGAGGGGGAUAACUACUGGAAACGGUGGCUAAUCCCGCAUACAAUCGGUUAACCCAGAUGGGAUUAGCUUGUAGGUGGGGGAAAGGCUCACCUAGACGACGAUCUCUAGCGGGUCUGAGAGGUUGAUCGGCAACACGGGGACGGGGACCCGGCCCAGACUCCUACGGAGGCAGCAGUGGGGAAUAUUGCACAAUGGGCGCAAGCCUGAUGCAGACAUGCCGCGUGUAUGAAGAAGGCCUUAGGGUUGUAAAGUACUCUCAGCGAGGAGGCGUUACUCGCAGAAGAAGCACCGGCUAACUCCGUGCCAGCAGCCGCGGUAAUAC
rnacentral:rRNA from 1 species